rnacentral:rRNA from 1 species
GCCUACGGGGGGCAGCAGUGGGGAAUAUUGCACAAUGGGGGAAACCCUGAUGCAGCAACGCCGCGUGAGUGAAGAAGUAUUUCGGUAUGUAAAGCUCUAUCAGCAGGGAAGAACAAUGACGGUACCUGACUAAGAAGCACCGGCUAAAUACGUGCCAGCAGCCGCGGUAAUACGUAUGGUGCAAGCGUUAUCCGGAUUUACUGGGUGUAAAGGGAGCGCAGGCGGCGCGUUAAGCCUGGUGUGAAAGCCCGCGGCCCA